UACAGAGACUGCAAGCGUUAUUCGGAUUCACUGGGCGUAAAGGGUGCGCAGGCGCCGGGUGUGUGAGGCGUGAAAGCCCGAUGCUUAACAUCGGAAUUGCACCUCAAACUACACGGCUAGAGCAUUGGAGAGGGUAGCGGAAUUCACGGUGUAGCAGUGAAAUGCGUAGAUAUCGUGAGGAACACCAGCGGCGAAGGCGG
rnacentral:rRNA from 1 species